rnacentral:lncRNA from 12 species
GGUGGACGGACACACGUCCUUCACAGAUAGGUCACAGAUAGGCUUUUUUUUUUUUUAAGAGUAUCUCAGGCCCCGGUGUUAUGGAGAUCUGGGAGAUCAGCCAGAAAAAGCACAACCACGAACUCACACAGACACAGCCCAAAUGUAACAGUUCUCUAGAUUCAAGUGGCUCUGCAGCUCAGGAGCC